GCGAGAGGAGUUCAGUUGAGUGUUUUUAACCAGGCUGCUGGGGCUGGUUGGGAACGGGGCAGAAGGGGGUAAUAGCUGAGGCUGUGUGAACCUGGGUGGUGAUGUGAUGCCACUUCUCGAGUCUGUGUGAGGUGGACGGAAAGAAAGCCAUGACUCCUUCACUUUGUCCUCCUUAUUUGCUCGGCUUCUCUGCCAUACAGUCCCAUCUACUCCUGUGGGCAAGAAUGUAGAAGUGAAGUGUCACAUUAGAGCUCCAUCAAUCAAUUAAUCAGUGAAUGUGAUUUGAAAGCAUUGCAUCUGAAGUCUGCAUCUGCCAGUGUGUCAUCAUGAUAAGAGUACAUG
ensembl:lncRNA